GUUUAAAUAGUAUAAAAAUACAUUAUCUUUUCGUGAUAAAAUUGGGCAUCCCUUUAAAUU
rnacentral:tRNA from 1 species